UACGUAGGGUGCAAGCGUUAAUCGGAAUUACUGGGCGUAAAGGGCUCGUAGGCGGUCAACUAAGUCAGACGUGAAAUCCCUCGGCUUAACCGGGGAACUGCGUCUGAUACUGGAUGGCUUGAAUCCGGGAGAGGGAUGCGGAAUUCCAGGUGUAGCGGUGAAAUGCGUAGAUAUCUGGAGGAACACCGGUGGCGAAGGCGGCAUCCUGGACCGGCAUUGACGCUGAGGAGCGAAAGCCAGGGGAGCAAAGCGGG
rnacentral:rRNA from 1 species